GAUGAACGCUGGCGGCGUGCCUAAUACAUGCAAGUCGAACGAACAGACCAGGAGCUUUCUCCUCCGACUUUAUCGCCGGACGGGAGAGUAACUCGUGUUUAACCUACCUAUAAGACUGGGAUACCUUCAGCAAACCGUAUCUAAUACCGGAUAAUAUAUUGCACCUCAUUGUUCCAUAGUUAAAUACGGUUUUUCUUUCACUUAUAGAUUGAUCCGCGCCGCAUUAGUUAGUUGGUAAGGUAACGGCUUACCAAGGCAACGAUGCGUACCCGACCUGAGCGCGAGAUCGGACACACUGGAAGAGAGACACGGUCGAGACACCGACGGGAGGCAGCAGUAGAGAAUCUUCCGCGAUGGGCGAAAGCCUGACAGAGCAACGCCGCGUGAGUGAUGAAGGACUUCGGAUCGGAAAGCUAUGUUAUUAGGGAAGAACAAAUGUGUAUGUACCUAUGCAGGUAUUGACGGUACCUAGAGAGAAAGCCACGGCUAACUACGUG
rnacentral:rRNA from 1 species